ensembl:lncRNA
GAAGGAAGUCUGCCUCAUGGAGAACCUGACCUUUGAUUUGCAUGUGCUGGUGAGGAGACACAAGGUUCUGCCUCUGGAGAGAUCCCGCCACCCCUACCAGCAGCAUCAUGAAACUGUGCUGCACUUCUUGUUAACAUUUUCCUUCUUCUGUUCUCUUUGGAGGGAUUUUUCAUAUGUCCUUGAAAGUAAAACCUUCUUAUCUCUGCUGACUUGAGGUCACUGCUCCAGAUAGGUUUGGGAGCUCUUCGUUUCCUAUGGUCACACUAUGCAUGCGUGGAAAAUUAAUGCCAAUGACAAAACCUCUGCAAGGACAUCAGCACCCACCUGGGGAGCACCAUAGUGAGGCUGUGGAUGUCAGCAGGGCGAGCUGCAAUACCACAGCCCGCGCGUUAAACGGGAAAUGAAACAGAAAUGGAAAUGAACGCCCGCAUCUGUCCCGUUUUUAAGGUAAAGGCAGAAAUCACCUCGUGUCUCCCAGUCCGGCCACGUUCACCCAAGGAAGGUGGGGAGAAGUCAAUGUCCAGGGAAAAUGUGCAACCAUCAUCUGCAAACGAAGAGUGGGAAAUCCUACGGGAUACGGUGAUGGAGCAAAAGGGGGGGAUGGAAAACAUCUGUACGUCGGUUGAGCAUCGGGAGCCUUUGUGCCCGAGUCGUUUUGGAAGGCGGAGGGGCAUCGGGACUUCCCGUCCCUCCCUGUGCCCUUCCUGUGUUGCGCAGCGGUCACAGAGAAGGACGCACCGGGGAGCGCUGGGCACAGCCGUGUCCCCGAAAUUUGCACCUGCAAAGAGGGAGCGAGCCAGGCGAGGGGAAUGUGCGACCGGAUGGAGAAAUAUCGAAUGUUUCUGGCCGUGUGCGUUGCCAGAGGUUUGCACAUUUUGUCUGAAAACACCCAGAGUUAGAGGCGGAGAGGAGGGAGGGGGGAUUUUAAUAAAAACCAUUUGCCACUUGUCUUCAAUUAGAGUCCAGACAUCGAGCAAUAAGGAAAAAACCUUUUCUAAAAUAUGUAUAUUUAUAUAUAUAUAUAUUAUUAUUAUCUCGCUAG